rnacentral:lncRNA from 1 species
UGUGAGUUCAAGUCUGAAGAUAAACUGCCUGUGAACAUCACUUUGUGCAAUGUUACAAUGAAGAUCAGCCUAUCUCUGAAAGCAUUUCACCUAUUGGGAGGUUUGGGAGGUGUUUCUGAAGAGGACAGAAGCAAGUCAAAUGUGAAAGGCAGCUGCUGCAAGCUGUGCACUGGACAUCAAUGAUCGCACUUUAACUCAAAGUAUUAAUUAAAAAUGUGAGGACUACACCAUACAACCAUGAAAAAAAAUACAUGGUAAUACAUCUCUGUAAAUUAGAAGCUGAGACUUAAUAGUAUGCUCAAACACCCCGAGCUGAAUUCAGUACAAAUGUGUAACAAAACUAAGAGUAUUUAAUUUCCUUGUUUGAUUACAUCUGUUUUAUCUAAGGUUUGGAAUGAUAAUAAAGAUGCACGUCAGGUUCUGUUUUGAGGGGUU